GCUUCAUUCAAAUAUCUGCCCUAUCAACUUUCGAUGGUAGGAUAGUGGCCUACCAUGGUUUUAACGGGUAACGGGGAAUAAGGGUUCGAUUCCGGAGAGGGAGCCUGAGAAACGGCUACCACAUCCAAGGAAGGCAGCAGGCGCGCAAAUUACCCAAUCCCGACCGGGGAGGUAGUGACAAUAAAUAACAAUAUAGGGCUCUUUUGGGUCUUAUAAUUGGAAUGAGUACAAUUUAAACCCCUUAACGAGGAACAAUUGGAGGGCAAGUCUGGUGCCAGCAGCCGCGGUAAUUCCAGCUCCAAUAGCGUAUAUUAAAGUUGUUGCAGGUAAAAAGCUCGUAGUUG
rnacentral:rRNA from 1 species